GAUGAACGCUGGCGGCGUGCUUAACACAUGCAAGUCGAACGGAAAGGCUCCUGCUUGCCUGGUUUCUCGAUUGGCGCACGGGUGAGUAACACGUGUGUAAUCUGCCCUUCACUUCCGGAUAAACCUGGGAAACUCGGUCUCUUACCCCAUAUGAUGUUUUUUUGGAUGCCAUUCUGGAAAGUUUGUGCGGUUUGGGGUGAGUUCUCGGCUUAUCCGCUUGUUGGUGGGUUAUUGGCCUACCAACGCGUAGCCGGGUAGCCGGCAUGAGAGGGGGGACGGCGACAAUGGGACUGAGAGACGGAGCAGAAUCGUACGGGAGGCAGCAGGGGGGAAUAUUGCAGAAUGGGGGCAAGCCUGAGGCAGAGAUGCCGCGUGGGGGAUGACGGCCUUCGGGUGGUAAACAACUGUCGAUAGGGACGAAGAGCAAGUGACGGUACCUGGAGAAGAAGCAACGGCUAACUACGUG
rnacentral:rRNA from 1 species